ensembl:bidirectional_promoter_lncRNA A730020E08Rik RIKEN cDNA A730020E08 gene
ACCGCCCCCGCCCCCGCUCCGCAACCGGAGCUCGCGCCAACUCUGCGACCGAGACCCCCGGAUUGCAGGAGCGGGCCACGCCGCGCAGUGCCCACGCCCGCCAGGAGUUAUUGCAGUGUUCUGUCUGGGUCUUUCCGUGUCAUCCGCCCCACGAUCGUCUUGACAACUCUGUAGCUAACAAGGUGUUGCUCUUUAUGAUGGCUGCUAUCCCGUGAAAGCUGCCAAUGGGUAACUGAGGAGAAGAGAAGCAAUUCAUGCCGAGCAGGACUGGAUGAGAAAUUGGAUCAAGAUUGACUCAGCUGCAAUUCUGGGUCCAGAAAACACCAAAUAUGUAGUCUUGAUGUGGAAGCACAUUGAUUGUGAUAAUCAUCCAGAUAAUAAGGCACAGAAGACAAGAAAAAUUAUUUUUUUCCUAAGCAUACUUGUGAUAACUCUUGCUUAGUAAUGUGUGUGUAUAUGUGAAAAGACAGAGAAAAGGGAAGAGAGACAGGAAGAGAGAGGGGGAGGUAAUUACCAUGUUUGAUUAAUUUAGUUUAUCUGAUCACAAUAUUUUUUUUAAUUUACCAAAUUAGUGAGUUAAUCUUUUAAUGUUAUCUAUUUCCAAAAAACUGGGCUUUGAGUUUCCUAUUGUAUAUGGUCCUAGCACCUACAUAGUAAUACAUAUUUCAUUCAAACAGACAGUUGUUGACACACUGAAAAGCAUCAUCUAAAUUAUCCCUAAGAACAGUAUCUUGAUAAAAUUUGAAAGUAACCUAAACAUAUGUAUAGGUAUAAAUAUAGCAAUAGCAAGAAUAAAACUGAAAAGAGAACAUAUUUGUACUACUUGAAUAUAUAAUAAGCAAACAACACUAAUAAGAGUCUGAGCCACAUUAUACCAGUACUCUGGGAAGCUGGAAACUGGUUUUACCAUCUGUCAGCUUCUAUACUGGCAGCAUCACAAAUGAGACCUCUUUUGAACAAAACAUCACAGCAGGAGCCACAGACAUGUGAAUUGUAAUUAACACGUGAAAAUGCAUUUCAUAGCUUUUGUCAUUUAUAGAAAACAUAUUGUGAAUUUUUGAUUUAUAAAAUUAUAUCAAAUGUAAGCCAUUUUAAUUUUCCAAACUUAUACACUAUUUCAUCAAAACUUUGGCCUUUACCAACAGUGAGUAUUCCUUAGGUCUGGUUCACUCUUUAAUGAGGAUCAAUUAUUUCCUAAUCAUUCAGGUACAGAAGAUGAACAAAAAUAUAAAUCUGCUGAGGAC